rnacentral:misc_RNA from 1 species
GAGUUCGCGGGAGAGUAAGUUAUUGCCAGGGUUUUUAUUUUAUACUUUAAACCUUAAAUUUAUUUUUUAAAUGUUUAUAUUAUUUGAAUAGUUUUAUUCAAAUAAUAUAAAAAAUAAUAUAUAUAUUGACAUGGAUUAAACAAAGAUAUAUAUUAUUCUAUGUUGUAUAAACAAAUUGGCAAAAUAGAGAUGGAAGAUAAAAAUAUGGUCAAAGUAAUAAGAGUCUAUGGUGAAUGCC